rnacentral:tRNA from 1 species
UGGCUCAGAUGGUAAAGCAUCUGCCUGCAAUGCAGGAGACCCAAGUUCAAUCCCUGG